CGUGCCUAAUACAUGCAAGUCGAGCGGAAUGAUGAAGAAGCUUGCUUCUUCUGAUUUUAGCGGCGGACGGGUGAGUAACACGUGGGCAACCUACCUUGUAGAUUGGGAUAACUCCGGGAAACCGGGGCUAAUACCGAAUAAUCCAUUUUGCUUCAUGGCGAGAUGUUGAAAGACGGUUUCGGCUGUCACUACAGGAUGGGCCCGCGGCGCAUUAGCUAGUUGGUAGGGUAAUGGCCUACCAAGGCGACGAUGCGUAGCCGACCUGAGAGGGUGAUCGGCCACACUGGGACUGAGACACGGCCCAGACUCCUACGGGAGGCAGCAGUAGGGAAUCUUCCACAAUGGACGAAAGUCUGAUGGAGCAACGCCGCGUGAGUGAAGAAGGUUUUCGGAUCGUAAAACUCUGUUGUAAGGGAAGAACACGUACGAGAGUAACUGCUCGUACCUUGACGGUACCUUAUUAGAAAGCCACGGCUAACUACGUG
rnacentral:rRNA from 1 species